GAUCAACUGGCCUAGUGGUAAGGCGUCCGUCUUACAAUUCUGUGCUCUCACGGCGCCAAGAAAUUGCACGGAAGAUCGUAGGUUCGAAUCCUGCGUUGAUCA